CGAAAUUGGUAACUGUGUACGGCGUACC
rnacentral:sRNA from 1 species